UGUAUCAGGUCUCUGUUCAUCAAGACAUGAAGACUCUGGAGUGGGACAAGAGAAGGAUGGUGGGGUGUUAUUCCAAUAGACACAUUAAGUGAAAGCUGAUAAAUACAGAGGGCUGGACAGUGGUUUCAUUGAUUAAGUAAAGAGGUGGGACAAGGAUGCUGACAGGACAGGAGGAGGUGACAUUCAGGUUAGUGACAGUACAUCAGGGC